CCAUAUAUCCGGGGGGCCCUAGUGUGGGGGAAUUCCACGUUUUCCGCGCCGUAGCUAACGCAUUAAGUGCCCCGCCUGGGGAGUACGGCCGCAAGGCUAAAACUCAAAGGAAUUGACGGGGGCCCGCACAAGCGGCGGAGCAUGCGGAUUAAUUCGAUGCAACGCGAAGAACCUUACCAAGGCUUGACAUGAACCGGAAAGACCUGGAAACAGGUGCCCCGCUUGCGGUCGGUUUACAGGUGGUGCAUGGUUGUCGUCAGCUCGUGUCGUGAGAUGUUGGGUUAAGUCCCGCAACGAGCGCAACCCUCGUUCUAUGUUGCCAGCGCGUGAUGGCGGGGACUCAUAGGAGACUGCCGGGGUCAACUCGGAGGAAGGUGGGGACGACGUCAAAUCAUCAUGCCCCUUAUGUCUUGGGCUUCACGCAUGCUACAAUGGCCGGUACAAAGGGUUGCGAUACUGUGAGGUGGAGCUAAUCCCAAAAAGCCGGUCUCAGUUCGGAUUGGGGUCUGCAACUCGACCCCAUGAAGUCGGAGUCGCUAGUAAUCGCAGAUCAGCAACGCUGCGGUGAAUACGUUCCCGGGCCUUGUACACACCGCCCGUCAAGUCACGAAAGUUGGUAACACCCGAAGCCGGUGGCCUAACCCUUGUGGGGGGAGCCGUCGAAGGUGGGACCGGCGAUUGGGACUAAGUCGUAACAAGGUAGCCGUACCGGAAGGUGCG
rnacentral:rRNA from 1 species